rnacentral:rRNA from 1 species
AUUGAACGCUGGCGGCAUGCCUAACACAUGCAAGUCGAACGGCAGCACAGUAAAGACUUCGGUCUUUAUGGGUGCCGAGUGGCGGACGGGUGAGUAACGCGUAGGAAUCUGUCCUGGAGGGUGGGAUUACCCGAGGAAACUCGGGCUACUACCGAAGGAUAUCGAGAGAUCAAAGGCCGGGGAACCUUCGGGGCCCUGCGCCCUAGUCGGCGCCUACGCCGGAUUUGCUAGUUGGUGGGGUAAAGGCCUACCAAGGCGAGGAUCCGUAGCUGGUCUGAGAGGAUGACCAGCCACACUGGGACUGAGACACGGCCCAGACUCCUACGGGAGGCAGCAGUGGGGAAUCUUGGACAAUGGGGGAAACCCUGAUCCAGCGAUGCCGCGUGUGUGAAGAAGGCCUUCGGGUUGUAAAGCACUUUAGUUGGGGAAGAAAAGUAAUAAGUAAAUAAUUUACUGCUCUGACGGUACCCAAAGAAUAAGCACCGGCUAACUCUGUGCCAGCCGCCGCCGUAA